GGAUCUGUAGCUCAACUGGUAGAGCACUCGCCCGUUAAACGAGGUGUUAUAGGAUCAUGCCCUAUCAGAUCCA
rnacentral:tRNA from 1 species